GUUUUGUCUAACAAUGCCUAAGUAUUCAGACAUCAAACACUUUUAUUCUUAAAGGAUUCUCAGAGUUUCCUCAACUGUCGUUUUUGGCAGACAGUGAUUUCAAAAUUCUACUUUUGCUUAGAGUGAAGAAUAAUCACUCAAGAACUGACACUAGUAACAUUGAAGUAUUUAAAAAGUGUCUCAAUUCUAGGUGAAGGUUCCAAACCUCUAAUAGUAUACAGUUGGAAAAACGGUUGACCUAUCUGAAUUUAGAGAGAGACAUCAUGCAUGACAGAGACAGUAGAAGUCUGUCCCAUAAUGGGUGGAUUCAGAUGGAUAAAACUCUUUUUGUACAGUAUACAAUAUACAAUAUACCCAUCGAAAAGCGUUUGAUCCGACUAUAAUUUAAGGAAUCAUCAAGCACGACAAAGACUAAUGUCAUCUCCAUUUUCUAGUAAAAAGACGUUUACACUGUGUGGCCCAUUCAAGAAUUACUACUGUAACUUUUUAUUUUUAAUUCCAAUUUAUUAAAUAAUAAUAAAUACAAUUUUUAAUUA